rnacentral:rRNA from 1 species
UCGUGGAGUGAUUUGUCUUGGUUAAUUCCGAUAACGAACGAGACCUUGACCUGCUAAAUAGGUGCACUCAUUCCGAUGGGUGUCAUCUUCUUAGAGGGACUAUCGAUGUUUAAUCGAUGGAAGUUCGAGGCAAUAACA